ensembl:lncRNA novel transcript
ACAGUGUAGAGUUCUUCAGUUUCCAGGAUCGGAGGUGGUGUGUGUGUGGUUGAUGUUUUUAGAGUGAGGCAAUGGCUCAGCCCCGUGGGAGCAGAUUGCAUGAGACAAGCACCCAGAAUGGGGGAGAUAAUGCCAGCCAAUCUGUCAGAUUUCAUCAUCUGCUGGUCCUGGGCUGGGGAGUUAGCAGAAUAUUGCAUGUUGCCAGAAGAGACCUCCCAUGGUGCAGUCUCCUUGUUCACAGCACGGAAGCUGCCAGAAUAGGAAACAGAGUGGGAAGACGGAGCAGUGGAGCGAGGGUGGCCCAGGACACGCGAGGGGCCCGCCAUAGCCAUCCAGCCUGGUCCUGAGACCUGAGCUGGAAUGUUGGCGUGAUGGUUGAAGCUGUAACAGCCAUCUUCGACUACAAAAUGGAAGCUGCAUGCUACAAAUGACAGAAGACAAGAUCAAAAGAACCUGUGUUCCCAGCACCACAGAACUGUCCCUAUGGAAAUAGACAUGACUGUUACAUAAGAAAGAAAUAUACCCUACUAUGUUUAAGCCUCUGUUAUUUUAGCAUGUGUUGUAGCAGUUGUAUACUAAGUAACUAAUGAGAAAGAAUAUUUUGUGCCCUGGUAAAGAUGGAUACUUCUAUAUGUUAUGAGAACAAUUUGAUGAGGUAAUUGUAAUUUAGUAGAAUAAUAUCAAAUAUUAAUGUCAAAUGACUAGUUUGGCAUUGCCACAUAGUAAUUGUUGGGCAAGUUAUUAACCUGUGUCUCAGUUUCCUCACUGGUAGAAUAACAAUAACAGACAAUCGUACUAGUGUCUAACGUUUUACUGAACAUGUAGCUUGGUUCAGCGCCACACAUUAUUUGAAUUAAGUAGAAUAAGAGAGUCCUGAGUAAAUAUAACCCAAAUGUAAAUUAUUUUUAAACUUUAUUACAUAUGUGAAUAUUAUUAUUUGAGCUUCUCAUACUGACUUCUUAUUUACUUAACUGAUUCUAGGCAUUGACCACUCCUGAGAUUUUGCAUCCAUACUCCCUAAAAGUUCUGGUCCAAAAUUUAGCACACAAUAAAUAUUUAAUGAGGGCAUAGCUUAUUUUUAAGUAGGUACCUCUAUUCACAGAA